UACAGAGGGUGCAAACGUUGUUCGGAAUUACUGGGCGUAAAGCGUGUGUAGGCGGUCUGCUAAGUCGGAUGUGAAAGCCCUGGGCUCAACCCAGGAAGUGCACUCGAAACUGGCAGGCUAGAGUAUCGGAGAGGUUGGUGGAAUUCCUGGUGUAGCGGUGAAAUGCGCAGAUAUCAGGAAGAACACCCGUGGCGAAAGCGGCUCUCUGGAACGGUACUGACGCUGAGACGCGAAAGCGUGGGGAGCGAACAGG
rnacentral:rRNA from 1 species